rnacentral:rRNA from 1 species
UUACGGUCAAAUCACGUUGGAAAACACCGGUUCUUGUUCGAUCACCGAAGUUAAGCAUCGUAGAGCCAGGUCAGUACUUAGAUGGGGGGGACCGCUUGGGA